AGAGUUUGAUCAUGGCUCAGAGUGAACGCUGGCGGCAUGCCUAACACAUGCAAGUCGAACGGUAACGGGCCCGCAAGGGUGCCGACGAGUGGCGGACGGGUGAGGAAUACAUCGGAAUUUGCCCAGUCGUGGGGGAUAACGUAGGGAAACUUACGCUAAUACCGCAUACGACCGAGAGGUGAAAGCGGGGGAUCAGCAAUGACCUCGCGCGAGUGGAUGAGCCGAUGUCGGAUUAGCUAGUUGGCGGGGUAAAGGCCCACCAAGGCGACGAUCCGUAGCUGGUCUGAGAGGAUGAUCAGCCACACUGGGACUGAGACACGGCCCAGACUCCUACGGGAGGCAGCAGUGGGGAAUAUUGGACAAUGGGGGCAACCCUGAUCCAGCAAUGCCGCGUGUGUGAAGAAGGCCUUCGGGUUGUAAAGCACUUUUGUCCGGAACGAAACGUGUCGGGUGAAUAUCCCGGCAAACUGACGGUACCGGAAGAAUCAGCACCGGCUAACUUCGUGCCAGCAGCCGCGGUAAUACGAAGGGUGCAAGCGUUACUCGGAAUUACUGGGCGUAAAGCGUGCGUAGGUGGUUUGUUAAGUCCGUUGUGAAAGCCCUGGGCUCAACCUGGGAAUGGCAGUGGAUACUGGCAAGCUAGAGUGCGGUAGAGGGUAGUGGAAUUCCCGGUGUAGCAGUGAAAUGCGUAGAGAUCGGGAGGAACACCAGUGGCGAAGGCGGCUACCUGGACCAGCACUGACACUGAGGCACGAAAGCGUGGGGAGCAAACAGGAUUAGAUACCCCCGUAGUCC
rnacentral:rRNA from 1 species